AGAGUUUGAUCCUGGCUCAGGACGAACGCUGGCGGCGUGCUUAACACAUGCAAGUCGAACGCUGAAGCUCUGGCUUGCUGGAGCGGAUGAGUGGCGAACGGGUGAGUAACACGUGAGUAACCUACCCCCCUUACUUUGGGAUAACUCCGGGAAACCGGGGCUAAUACCGGAUAUGACUGCUGGCCGCAUGGUUGGUGGGGAAAGUGUUUAGCGGUGGGGGAUGGGCUCGCGGCCUAUCAGCUUGUUGGUGCGGUGAUGGCGCACCAAGGCGACGACGGGUAGCCGGCCUGAGAGGGUGACCGGCCACACUGGGACUGAGACACGGCCCAGACUCCUGCGGGAGGCAGCAGUGGGGAAUAUUGCACAAUGGGCGAAAGCCUGAUGCAGCGACGCCGCGUGGGGGAUGACUGCCUUCGGGUUGUAAACCCCUUUCGACUCUGACGAAGCGUAAGUGACGUAGGAGUAGAAGAAGCACCGGCUAACUACGUGCCAGCAGCCGCGGUAAUACGUAGGGUGCGAGCGUUGUCCGGAAUUAUUGGGCGUAAAGAGCUUGUAGGCGGUUUGUCGCGUCUGUCGUGAAAACCAGGGGCUUAACUCCUGGCGUGCGGUGGGUAUGGGCAGGCUAGAGUGUGGUAGGGGAGACUGGAAUUCCUGGUGUAGCGGUGAAAUGCGCAGAUAUCAGGAAGAACACCGAUGGCGAAGGCAGGUCUCUGGCCAUUACUGACGCUGAGAAGCGAAAGCAUGGGGAGCGAACAGGAUUAGAUACCCUGGUAGUCCAUGCCGUAAACGUUGGGCGCUAGGUGUGGGGCUCAUUCCACGAGUUCUGCGCCGCAGCUAACGCAUUAAGCGCCCCGCCUGGGGAGUACGGCCGCAAGGCUAAAACUCAAAGGAAUUGACGGGGGCCCGCACAAGCGGCGGAGCAUGCGGAUUAAUUCGAUGCAACGCGAAGAACCUUACCAAGGCUUGACAUACCCGGAAAAGUGCAGAGAUGUGCUCCCCGUAAGGUCGGUGUACAGGUGGUGCAUGGUUGUCGUCAGCUCGUGUCGUGAGAUGUUGGGUUAAGUCCCGCAACGAGCGCAACCCUCGUUCCAUGUUGCCAGCACGUAAUGGUGGGGACUCAUGGGAGACUGCCGGGGUCAACUCGGAGGAAGGUGGGGAUGACGUCAAAUCAUCAUGCCCCGUAUGUCUUGGGCUUCACGCAUGCUACAAUGGCCGGUACAGAGGGCUGCGUACCGUAAGGUGGAGCGAAUCCCACAAAGCCGGUCUCAGUUCGGAUUGGGGUCUGCAACUCGACCCCAUGAAGUCGGAGUCGCUAGUAAUCGCAGAUCAGCAACGCUGCGGUGAAUACGUUCCCGGGCCUUGUACACACCGCCCGUCAAGUCACGAAAGUUGGUAACACCCGAAGCCGGUGGCCUAACCCUUGGGGAGGAGCCGUCGAAGGUGGGACUGGCGAUUGGGACUAAGUCGUAACAAGGUAACC
rnacentral:rRNA from 1 species